AUCCCGCCAUGCCUUUUGGCUAAGAUCAAGUGUGGUAUCUGUUCUUAUCAGUUUAAUAUCUGAUAUGUCCCUUAUCUAGGGACCAUAUAUUAAAUUGGUUUUUGGAACAGGGAGAUGGAAUAGAGGCAUUAUUUGUUUUAAAGUUGGCAGUGAAAAUCUAGUUGCACAAUUCAUUGGGUCAGCAGCUUCG